rnacentral:rRNA from 1 species
GACGAACGCUGGCGGCGUGCUUAACACAUGCAAGUCGAGCGGUAAGGCCCUUUCGGGGUACGACGAGCGGCGAACGGGUAGAGUAACACGUGGGUGACCUGCCCUCAGCUCUGGGAGUAAGCCUGGGAAACCGGGUCUAAUACUGGAUAUGACUCCAUGACGCAUGUUGUGGGGUGGAAAGCCUUGUGCGGCUGAGGAUGGGCCCGCGGCCUAUCAGCUUGUUGGUGGGGUGAUGGCCUACCAAGGCGACGACGGGUAGCCGGCCUGAGAGGGCGACCGGCCACACUGGGACUGAGACACGGCCCAGACUCCUACGGGAGGCAGCAGUGGGGAAUCUUGCGCAAUGGGCGAAAGCCUGACGCAGCGACGCCGCGUGAGGGAUGACGGCCU